GUGUCAGCAGCCGCGGUAAUACGUAGGGGGCGAGCGUUGUCCGGAAUUAUUGGGCGUAAAGAGCUCGUAGGCGGUCCAUUAAGUCGGAAGUGAAAUCUCAGGGCUCAACCCUGAAAUUGCUUUCGAUACUGGCGGACUUGAGGCAAGUAGGGGAGAGCGGAAUUCCUGGUGUAGCGGUGAAAUGCGCAGAUAUCAGGAGGAACACCGGUGGCGAAGGCGGCUCUCUGGGCUUGUUCUGACGCUGAGGAGCGAAAGCGUGGGGAGCGAACAGGAUUAGAAACCCGCGUAGUCC
rnacentral:rRNA from 1 species